rnacentral:rRNA from 1 species
UACGUAGGUGGCGAGCGUUGUCCGGAAUCACUGGGCGUAAAGCGCGCGCAGGCGGCGAUCUACGUCUGGGGUGAAAGCCCGGGGCUCAACCUCGGGACUGCCUUGGAUACGGGAUCGCUUGAGAAUCGGAGAGGCAAGGGGAAUUCCACGUGUAGCGGUGAAAUGCGUAGAGAUGUGGAGGAACACCUGUGGCGAAGGCGCCUUGCUGGCCGAUUUCUGACGCUGAGGCGCGAAAGCGUGGGGAGCAAACAGGAUUAGAUACCCUGGUAGUCCACGCCGUAAACGAUGAGUGCUAGGUGUUGGGGGGUACCACCCUCAGUGCCGAAGCUAACGCAUUAAGCACUCCGCCUGGGGAGUACGGUCGCAAGACUGAA